UUCCCGAAUAAACCCAUUGUUGCUGGUAAAACAACCGGCAGUUUUAUUUUAAAGGCUAACGGAAAGCAUACGAGGGCCAGCCGCUGCAGGACCUGCCCAAUGAAGAUGAUGUGUCCACACUAGGAGGACUUGAGAGAAGCAAGGUGCCAAAUGAAGUCUGGGAGGUCAAACCUCAUUCCUGACACUGUGUAAUCCCAGGAAGAUGGAGUUCCACACCAGUGACUUGAAACCUGAAUAAGACAGACCCAGAAAUUGAGACAUAAAACUGCAGCUGCAAGAUAAGACCUCAUUAACUAAAGGGACAAACUAGCAAUGGACUUCAGAGGAGACAGCCAGCUAUUGACA